rnacentral:rRNA from 1 species
UGGGGAAUAUUGGACAAUGGGGGCAACCCUGAUCCAGCAAUGCCGCGUGUGUGAAGAAGGUCUUCGGAUUGUAAAGCACUUUCGACGGGGACGAUGAUGACGGUACCCGUAGAAGAAGCCCCGGCUAACUUCGUGCCAGCAGCCGCGGUAAUACGAAGGGGGCUAGCGUUGCUCGGAAUGACUGGGCGUAAAGGGCGUGUAGGCGGUUUACACAGUCAGAUGUGAAAGUCCCCGGGCUUAACCUGGGAGCUGCAUUUGAUACGUGUAGACUAGAGUGUGAGAGAGGGUUGUGGAAUUCCCAGUGUAGAG